rnacentral:rRNA from 1 species
GAUGAACGCUGGCGGCGUGCCUAAUACAUGCAAGUCGAGCGAACAGACGAGGAGCUUGCUCCUCUGACGUUAGCGGCGGACGGGUGAGUAACACGUGGAUAACCUACCUAUAAGACUGGGAUAACUUCGGGAAACCGGAGCUAAUACCGGAUAAUAUAUUGAACCGCAUGGUUCAAUAGUGAAAGACGGUUUUGCUGUCACUUAUAGAUGGAUCCGCGCCGCAUUAGCUAGUUGGUAAGGUAACGGGUUACCAAGGCAACGAUCCGUAGCCGACCUGAGAGGGUGAUCGGCCACACUGGAACUGAGACACGGUCCAGACUCCAACGGGAGGCAGCAUUAGGGAAUCUUCCGCAUUGGGCGAAAGCCUGACGGAGCAACGCCGCGUGAGGGAUGAAGGUCUUCGGAUCGUAAAACUCUGUUAUUAGGGAAGAACAAAUGUGUAAGUAACUAUGCACGUCUUGACGGUACCUAAUCAGAAAGCCACGGCUAACUACGUG